rnacentral:tRNA from 1 species
UGAGCCAUAGCUCAAUUAGGCAGAGCGCCCGACUGUUAAUCGGGUGGUUGCAGGUUCGAUUCCUGCUGGCUCAGC